rnacentral:rRNA from 1 species
GAUGAACGCUGGCGGCGUGCCUAAUACAUGCAAGUCGAGCGAACAGACGAGGAGCUUGCUCCUCUGACGUUAGCGGCGGACGGGUGAGUAACACGUGGAUAACCUACCUAUAAGACUGGGAUAACUUCGGGAAACCGGAGCUAAUACCGGAUAAUAUAUUGAACCGCAUGGUGCAAUAGUGAAAGACGGUUUUGCUGUCACUUAUAGCUGGAUCCGCGCCGCAUUAGCUAGUUGGUAAGGUAACGGGUUACCAAGGCAACGAUGCGUAGCCGACCUGAGAGGGUGAUCGCCGACACUGGAGCUGAGCCGCGGUCCAUACUCCUACGGGAGGCACCAGUAGGGAACCUUCGGCAAUGGGCGAAAACCUGACGGAGCAACGCGGCGUGAGAUACGACGGUCUUCGGAGCGUAAAACUCUGUUAUUAGGGAAGAACAAAUGUGUAAGUAACUAUGCACGUCUUGACGGUACCUAAUCAGAAAGCCCCGGCUAACUACGUG